rnacentral:misc_RNA from 1 species
UCCUGGUUUCCCAGGCAGUCCCACCAGAGUGCUACUGUUUCCAAUGAGCAACUGAUGGCAAGGGUUGCGCUCGUUAAAGGACUUAACCCAACAUCUCACGACACGAGCUGACGACAGCCAUGCAGCACCUGUGUAACCGUCUGUAUUACUACAGAACCCAACGUUUCUGCUGGUAGCAGUUACAUGUCAAGCCUAGGUAAGGUUUCUCGCGUAGUGUCGAAUUAAACCACAUGUUCCACCGCUUGUGCGGACCCCCGUCAAUUUCUUUGAGUUUUAAUCUUGCGACCGUACUCCCCAGGCGGAUCACUUAACGCGUUAGCUUCGACACAGAUUCUGCUUAGCAAAACCCAUAUCUAGUGAUCAUCGUUUACAGCGUGGACUAC